AGGAGGAACAGCCCCAGUGGCGGGGCAGCUCUGGAAACCUGGAUUCAGCCCCCGCAGGAACUCCGGAGCUCUCCGUCUGCAGGGCCUGGAGGCUCCGGGCGGGG
rfam:Canis lupus familiaris chromosome 3, whole genome shotgun sequence.